rnacentral:rRNA from 1 species
GACCAGACUCCUACGGGAGGCAGCAGUGGGGGAUAUUGCACAAUGGGGGAAACCCUGAUGCAGCGACGCCGCGUGUGGGAAGACGGUCCUCUGGAUUGUAAACCACUGUCCCCAGGGACGAAGAUGACGGUACCUGGGGAGGAAGCCCCGGCUAACUACGUGCCAGCAGCCGCGGUAAUACGUAGGGGGCAAGCGUUAUCCGGAUUUACUGGGUGUAAAGGGAGCGUAGACGGUUAUGCAAGUCUGGAGUGAAAGGCGGGGGCUCAACCCCCGGACUGCUCUGGAAACUGUAGAACUAGAGUGCAGGAGGGGUAAGUGGAAUUCCUAGUGUAGCGGUGAAAUGCGUAGAUAUUAGGAGGAACACCAGUGGCGAAGGCGGCUUACUGGACUGUAACUGACGUUGAGGCUCGAAAGCGUGGGGAGCAAACAGGAUUAGAUACCCUUGUAU